CUACGGGGCGCAGCAGUGAGGAAUAUUGCGCAAUGGGGGGAACCCUGAUGCAGCAACGCCGCGUGGAGGAUGACGCAUUUCGGUGUGUAAACUCCUUUUAUAUGUCAAGAAAAUGACGGUAGCAUAUGAAUAAGCACCGGCUAACUCCGUGCCAGCAGCCGCGGUAAUACGGAGGGUGCAAGCGUUACUCGGAAUCACUGGGCGUAAAGGACGCGUAGGCGGGUUGGAAAGUCAGGUGUGAAAUCCUACAGCUUAACUGUAGAACUGCACUUGAAACUUCUAAUCUAGAGUAUGGGAGGGGGAGAUGGAAUUAGUGGUGUAGGGGUAAAAUCCGUAGAUAUCACUAGGAAUACCUAAAGCGAAGGCGAUCUCCUGGAACAUUACUGACGCUAAAGCGUGAAAGCGUGGGGAGCAAACAGGAUUAGAUACCCUUGUAGUC
rnacentral:rRNA from 1 species